rnacentral:lncRNA from 1 species
CUUUCCCCGCGGUGUCACCACAACCUACAGUAAGCACCCCUGGAGUCACACCACCAAGCCAACACUGUGGUAAGUAUAGGACUGUCAGAGAAAGUACAUGACACAACACAGAGAGGCUAGUUAGGUCACACACAGGACAACACAGAGGCUAGUUUAGGUCACUAACAAGACAACACAGAGGCUAGAUAGGUCACUAACAAGACAACACAGAGGCUAGUUUAGGUCACUAACAAGACAACACAGAGGCUAGUUUAGGUCACUAACAAGACAACACAGAGGCUAGUUUAGGUCACACACAAGACAACACAGAGGCUAGUUUAGGUCACACACAGGACAACACAGAGGCUAGUUUAGGUCACACACAGGACAACACAGAGGCUAGUUUAGGUCACACACAGGACAACACAGAGGCUAGUUUAGGUCACACACAAGACAACACAGAGGCUAGUUUAGGUCACACACAGGACAACACAGAGGCUAGUUUAGGUCACACAAGACAAUAUUUGCAACAUUUGAAGAACAGACAAUGUAAGUGAACUGUGCAUGGAGGACAUUUUUCAUUAUGUGAUCCACAAGCUUUUUUUUCUGUCGCAGAAGGUUGAGUUGAGUUGGAUUCAAUUGAAUGCAAGAGCUGCCUCCUGUCUCCUGCUUCCACUAGUAUCAUUCAGAUCAGUCUAUUUUAACAGCAUGUGUCUAGUACCUACAGUACAGCAUCAGCGAACUCCAUGUCCAGGCACCAGGGAGUUAAGGGAAAAGGGUCAGUUGUACAGCUGAAUGCAUUCAACUGAAAUGUGUCUUUCUCAUUUAACCCAACCCCUUUGAAUCAAGGCACUACAGCCCUGUGUUAUUACAUAUCACUACUCUGGGUCAGUAAGUUGUACUAUGUACUGUACACUGCACAGUGCACUUAUUGUAGACUACCUUUCCUUGAAGGCCAAAAUACUGUCCCAGAGCUCUCUCUCUAUAGGUGCUUCUUAAAGUCCUUAACUAAACCUUCAGAUCCAAUAUCAUACUGUAUCAUACUCCACACGAUAACACACCUCUUUACUGCAUUCCCUCUUUCCUGCAGCCAUUUGACUGGAUUCUGCUGGCUAAAACUAGUACAAGCGGUCAUUUUCAGUCGUUACCAGACUGUCAUUGUUCUGCAACCUUUGCUCUGUGUUCUGUGGUUCUGAUCGAUGAUACCCAGAAUGUGUCCGCUCGUCUGUAAUAGUAGAGAAUUCACUAAUGCCUGCCAUCCUGCACAGUGGUAACAUUAUUCUAGUCUCUCCUCUCCCUCCUUUACUUUCAUACAGGGUAACAAUAUCAUUUAACAUCCCAAUAACUAAUCAUUCUAGCUAUGUAACUGGGUGUCAUGCACCCACAUUCAUUCUGUGUAACAUGAUCCAUGUCUAUGGCUCUCUCGUCUGUGUUCUUGUCUCUCAUAUCACUCCAGAACAUGUACUCUUUGUGUUCCGUUUUCCUGAGGUUUGCAGUCACAGUCAGAGAAAUAUAUCAGUUGCUUGCGAACAGCCAACCCCUCACCACCCUCCCAGAAGCCCCCCUCCUCUCCUGCUGCAUCCCCCCUUCACGCUAACGCAACCAACCUCCC